AAAAAUUUAGUUAAAUAAUAACAUUAGUUUGUCAUACUAAAAUCAUUCUUAGAAUAAUUUUUA
rnacentral:tRNA from 1 species